rnacentral:rRNA from 1 species
CCUACGGGAGGCAGCAGUGGGGAAUAUUGGGCAAUGGGCGCAAGCCUGACCCAGCAAAGCCGCGUGAAGGAAGACGGCUUUCGGGUUGUAAACUUCUUUGACAGGGGAAGAGCAGAAGACGGUACCCUGAGAACAAGCCACAGCCAAACACGUGCCAGCAGCCGCGGUAAUACGGAGGUGGCAGGCGUUGUCCGGAUUUCCUGGGUGUAAAGGGCGUGGAGGCGGGAAGGCCAGGCCGAUGUGAAAUCUGGAGGGCCAAACUCCAUGUAGCAGUUGAAACUGUUUUUCUUGAGUAAGGGAGAGGCAGACGGAAUUCGUGGUGUAGCGGUGAAAUGCGUAGAUAUAAGGAGGAACACCAGUGGCGAAGGCGGUAUGCUGGCCAGCAACUGACGGUGAGGCGCGAAAGUGUGGGGAUCGAACAGGAUUAGAUACCCUAGUAGUC